UCUAGUUUCCAUUCGUUGUCUGAUUAGUCCAUGCAGCGUGUAUGAAGAAGGCCUUCGGGUUGUAAAGUACUUUCAGCAGUGAGGAAGGUGGUAGUGUUAAUAGCACUAUCAUUUGACGUUAGCUGCAGAAGAAGCACCGGCUAACUCCGUGCCAGCAGCCGCGGUAAUACGGAGGGUGCGAGCGUUAAUCGGAAUUACUGGGCGUAAAGCGCAUGCAGGUGGUUUGUUAAGUCAGAUGUGAAAGCCCGGGGCUCAACCUCGGAAUUGCAUUUGAAACUGGCAGACUAGAGUACUGUAGAGGGGGGUAGAAUUUCAGGUGUAGCGGUGAAAUGCGUAGAGAUCUGAAGGAAUACCGGUGGCGAAGGCGGCCCCCUGGACAGAUACUGACACUCAGAUGCGAAAGCGUGGGGAGCAAACAGGAAUAGAUACCCUGGUAGUCCCA
rnacentral:rRNA from 2 species